GAUCAGUGGCUACAGGACGAACGCUGGCGGCGCGCUUAAUACAUGCAAGUCGAACGAGAAGCCAGAGCUUGCUCUGGUGGAAAGUGGCGAACGGGUGAGUAACACGUGAGAAACCUGCCCCAAAGAUUGGGAUAAGCCUUGGAAACGAGGUCUAAUACCAAAUACCUUCUUUUUAACACAUGUUAAAAAGAAGAAAUGCUCCGGCGCUUUGGGAUGGUCUCGCGAUCUAUCAGCUUGUUGGUGAGGUAACGGCUCACCAAGGCAUCGACGGAUAGCUGGUCUGAGAGGAUGUCCAGCCACAUUGGAACUGAGACACGGUCCAAACUCCUACGGGAGGCAGCAGUAGGGAAUCUUGCACAAUGAGGGAAACCUUGAUGCAGCGACGCCGCGUGCGGGACGAAGGCCCUAGGGUUGUAAACCGCUUUCAGUAGGGACGAAAGUGACGGUACCUACAGAAGAAGCCCCGGCCAACUAUGUG
rnacentral:rRNA from 1 species